rnacentral:rRNA from 1 species
GACGAACGCUGGCGGCGUGCUUAACACAUGCAAGUCGAACGAGAAGAGAUGAGAAGCUUGCUUCUUAUCGAUUCGAGUGGCAAACGGGUGAGUAACGCGUAAGCAACCUGCCCUUCAGAUGGGGACAACAGCUGGAAACGGCUGCUAAUACCGAAUACGUUCUUUUUGUCGCAUGGCAGAGGGAAGAAAGGGAGGCUCUUCGGAGCUUUCGCUGAAGGAGGGGCUUGCGUCUGAUUAGCUAGUUGGAGGGGUAACGGCCCACCAAGGCGACGAUCAGUAGCCGGUCUGAGAGGAUGAACGGCCACAUUGGGACUGAGACACGGCCCAGACUCCUACGGGAGGCAGCAGUGGGGAAUAUUGCACAAUGGGGGAAACCCUGAUGCAGCGACGCCGCGUGGAGGAAGAAGGUCUUCGGAUUGUAAACUCCUGUUGUUGGGGAAGAUAAUGACGGUACCCAACAAGGAAGUGACGGCUAACUACGUG